UUUAUUUGUCAAAUGCUUCUUGAUCAAGACCGGUUACUCACUGAAGCUAAGCAGGGCUGAGCCUGGUCAGUACCUGGAUUGGAGACCACAUGGGAAAAACUAGGUUGCUGUUGCAA
rnacentral:rRNA from 1 species